rnacentral:rRNA from 1 species
CUUGCUCCUUUGACGUUAGCGGCGGACGGGUGAGUAACACGUGGGCAACCUACCUUAUAGUUUGGGAUAACUCCGGGAAACCGGGGCUAAUACCGAAUAAUCUAUUUUACUUCAUGGUGAAAUACUGAAAGACGGUUUCGGCUGUCGCUAUAAGAUGGGCCCGCGGCGCAUUAGCUAGUUGGUGAGGUAACGGCUCACCAAGGCGACGAUGCGUAGCCGACCUGAGAGGGUGAUCGGCCACACUGGGACUGAGACACGGCCCAGACUCCUACGGGAGGCAGCAGUAGGGAAUCUUCCACAAUGGGCGAAAGCCUGAUGGAGCAACGCCGCGUGAGUGAAGAAGGUUUUCGGAUCGUAAAACUCUGUUGUAAGGGAAGAACAAGUACAGUAGUAACUGGCUGUACCUUGACGGUACCUUAUUAGAAAGCCACGGCUAACUACGUGCCAGCAGCCGCGGUAAUACGUAGGUGGCAAGCGUUGUCCGGAAUUAUUGGGCGUAAAGCGCGCGCAGGCGGUCCUUUAAGUCUGAUGUGAAAGCCCACGGCUCAACC